rnacentral:tRNA from 1 species
GCCUGUAUGGCUCAGUCGGUUAAGCGUCUGACUUUGGCUCAGGUCAUGAUCUCCCAGUCCGUGGGUUCCAGCCCCGCGUCGGGCU